AUGGAUGGAAAACCUCCUGACAACUUCAUAACCGAUCAGGAUGGUGCGAUGAAGCAGUCAAUAGAAAGCAUCUUUCCAACCACCGUGCAUCGCUGUUGUCGAUGGCACAUCAUGAAAAAGACUCAGGAAAAAGUUGGUUGGCUGUUGUGCCGGAAUCCAGGGCUCUCUGAUGAUUUCAACUACUGUGUUGACUUCAGCUUCACUCCAGACGAGUUUGAGCAGAAUUGGGCUGGGUUAAUGAUGAAGUACGAGGCUAUGACACACAUACACUUUGAAAAUUUGUACGAAUACAGGUCAACUUGGGUGCCGUGCUACUUCAAAUACAGGUUCUUCCCCUUCCUGUUGUAUAGGGGUUCAACGAUGUCCUAA
rnacentral:rRNA from 1 species